rnacentral:rRNA from 1 species
GACGAACGCUGGCGGCGUGCUUAACACAUGCAAGUCGAACGAUGAACCACUUCGGUGGGGAUUAGUGGCGAACGGGUGAGUAACACGUGGGCAAUCUGCCCUUCACUCUGGGACAAGCCCCGGAAACGGGGUCUAAUACCGGAUACAACACUUUCGGGCAUCCGAUGAGUGUGGAAAGCUCCGGCGGUGAAGGAUGAGCC